UACGUAGGGGGCUAGCGUUGUCCGGAAUCAUUGGGCGUAAAGCGCGUGUAGGCGGCCCGGUAAGUCCGCUGUGAAAGUCGGGGGCUCAACCCUUGGAAGCCGGCCGAUACUGUCGGACUAGAGUCCGGAAGAGGCGAGUGGAAUUCCCGGUGUAGCGGUGAAAUGCGCAGAUAUCGGGAGGAACACCAAUGGCGAAGGCAGCUCGCUGGGACGGUACUGACGCUGAGGAGCGAAAGCGUGGGGAGCGAACAGG
rnacentral:rRNA from 1 species